rnacentral:rRNA from 1 species
AUGGCGGCGCUCGCAACUGCAGGCGCAACGCGUCCCAGCCGCGGCAUCCCGGACGAGAUUGCCAUCUGGGAGAUCCUCGUCCACCUCCCCCCAAAUGCCCUCCUUCGCUGCCGCGCCGUCUGCCGCGCGUGGCGCCGCGCCACCACCACCCGCGACUUCCUCCUUGCCCACCAUGCCCGCCAGCCCACCCUCCCCCUCCUCUGUGACUCCAAAUUCAUUGGAAAAGACGGCUACUCCCUAGACAUCAUCUCCUUCGACCACCUGUCCGCCGCUGACCAGCUCCGAACUGUCGCGCGAUUUGGCGGCAUCUGCUACAGUCUGGUGGCUUGCUGCGACGGCCUCUUCGUCCUCGCCGUCAACAGGGCGCACUUUGGCAUCUCAAUGAACAUGACGCACUACGCCAUCUACAACCCGGCAACCCGUCAGUAUGCUUCCCUCUCGAUGCUUUCAGGCUUAAGGUUCCUGGGAAUGUACCGUCACCCUGCUACGGGCAAGUACAUACUGCUGAUGCACCAUUGCCAGUGGUCGUAUAGACUGGAACCUGGGAGACAAGUUGGCUCCUAUAUCUUCUCAUUGGGCUCUGACCAGCCCCUGAGGCACAUCGGCAAGUGUCUCGAUGCCAAUGAACUGAGCAACAUAUCUGUGCUAUUCCAUGGUUGCUUGCAUUGGUACCGAAUGAAGCGCGGGGAAAAAAGCAGCACGAUUAUCGUGUUUGACACCAUUGCUGAGUCGUUCCGGCAGAUGCACCCUCCAAAUGUUUCUGGCUGCGUCGACCUAUUUGAGAUGGAUGACAUGCUUGGCAUGUCCAACUUAAAUUAUUCAGUGAAUAUAAUCGAAGUCUGGGUUCUACAGGACUAUGAAAGCGAGGUCUGGACUUUCAAGUGCCAGAUUGAAUUGCUGUUUAGGGAGAUCAGGGCGCAAUGUGGUUACCGUCAGAGUGCCGAUAUUUGGAGUGUGGUGGUUGUACCUGAGGAAGGUGAGUUGCUUGUGAUGGUACGGUUUAACGAGUGGCUGAUUCAGGUUGACAUGGAUGGCAAGUUGGUCGCAAACUUUUCAUUGCAGGGGAGUCGUUCCUAUCCAAUUUCAUCUCAAACAAACUCUUGUUACGCAUACCUUCUUUCCAACACUAGAGGGUUAUGUUGUGAACCAUUUUCCUUUCGU